CUACGGGCGGCACCAGUGGGGAAUAUUGCACAAUGGAGGAAACUCUGGUGCAGCAACGCCGCGUGGAGGAUGACACUUUUCGGAGCGUAAACUCCUUUUAUAUAGGAAGAUAAUGACGGUACUAUAUGAAUAAGCACCGGCUAACUCCGUGCCAGCAGCCGCGGUAAUACGGAGGGUGCAAGCGUUACUCGGAAUCACUGGGCGUAAAGAGCGUGUAGGCGGGUUAAUAAGUCAGAAGUGAAAUCCUAUGGCUCAACCAUAGAACUGCUUUUGAAACUGUUAACCUAGAGUGUGGGAGAGGUAGAUGGAAUUUCUGGUGUAGGGGUAAAAUCCGUAGAGAUCAGAAGGAAUACCGAUUGCGAAGGCGAUCUACUGGAACAUAACUGACGCUGAGACGCGAAAGCGUGGGGAGCAAACAGGAUUAGAUACCCGAGUAGUC
rnacentral:rRNA from 1 species